rnacentral:rRNA from 1 species
GGGCGGGGAUUAGUGGCGAACGGGUGAGUAACACGUGGGCAAUCUGCCCUGCACUCUGGGACAAGCCCUGGAAACGGGGUCUAAUACCGGAUAUGACCGUCUGCCGCAUGGUGGAUGGUGUAAAGCUCCGGCGGUGCAGGAUGAGCCCGCGGCCUAUCAGCUUGUUGGUGAGGUAGUGGCUCACCAAGGCGACGACGGGUAGCCGGCCUGAGAGGGCGACCGGCCACACUGGGACUGAGACACGGCCCAGACUCCUACGGGAGGCAGCAGUGGGGAAUAUUGCACAAUGGGCGAAAGCCUGAUGCAGCGACGCCGCGUGAGGGAUGACGGCCUUCGGGUUGUAAACCUCUUUCAGCAGGGAAGAAGCGAAAGUGACGGUACCUGCAGAAGAAGCGCCGGCUAACUACGUGCCAGCAGCCGCGGUAAUACGUAGGGCGCAAGCGUUGUCCGGAAUUAUUGGGCGUAAAGAGCUCGUAGGCGGCUUGUCACGUCGGUUGUGAAAGCCCGGGGCUUAACCCCGGGUCUGCAGUCGAUACGGGCAGGCUAGAGUUCGGUAGGGGAGAUCGGAAUUCCUGGUGUAGCGGUGAAAUGCGCAGAUAUCAGGAGGAACACCGGUGGCGAAGGCGGAUCUCUGGGCCGAUACUGACGCUGAGGAGCGAAAGCGUGGGGAGCGAACAGGAUUAGAUACCCUGGUAGUCCACGCCGUAAACGGUGGGCACUAGGUGUGGGCA